GACGAACGCUGGCGGCGUGCUUAACACAUGCCAGUCGAACGGAAAGGCCCUGCUUGCAGGGUGCUCGAGUGGCGAACGGGUGAGUAACACGUGGGUGAUCUGCCCCUUACUUUGGGAUAAGCCUGGGAAACUGGGUCUAAUACUGGAUAGGACCAUGCUGUAGGUGGUGUGGUGGAAAGAUUAGUUUCGGUAAGGGAUGAGCUAGCGGCCUAUCAGCUUGUUGGUGGGGUAAUGGCCUACCAAGGCGUCGACGGGUAGCCGGCCUGAGAGGGUGGACGGCCACAUUGGGACUGAGAUACGGCCCAGACUCCUACGGGAGGCAGCAGUGGGGAAUAUUGCACAAUGGGCGCAAGCCUGAUGCAGCGACGCCGCGUGGGGGAUGACGGCCUUCGGGUUGUAAACUCCUUUCAGCCAUGACGAAGCCCUUGUGGUGACGGUAGUGGUAGAAGAAGCACCGGCUAACUACGUG
rnacentral:rRNA from 1 species